rnacentral:rRNA from 1 species
GAUGAACGCUGGCGGCGUGCCUAAUACAUGCAAGUCGAGCGAACAGACGAGGAGCUUGCUCCUCUGACGUUAGCGGCGGACGGGUGAGUAACACGUGGAUAACCUACCUAUAAGACUGGGAUAACUUCGGGAAACCGGAGCUAAUACCGGAUAAUAUAUUGAACCGCAUGGUUCAAUAGUGAAAGACGGUUUUGCUGUCACUUAUAGAUGGAUCCGCGCCGCAUUAGCUAGUUGGUAAGGUAACGGCUUACCAAGGCAACGAUGCGUAGCCGACCUGAGAGGGUAAUAGGCCACACUGGACCUGAGACACGGUCCAGACUCCUACGGGAGGCAGCAGUAGGAAAUCUUCCGCAAUGGGCGAAAGCCUGACGGAGCAACGCCGCGUGAGUGAUGAAGGUCUGCGGAUCGUAAAACUCUGUUAUUAGGGAAGAACAAAUGUGUAAGUAACUAUGCACGUCUGGACGGUACCUAAUCAGAAAGCCACGGCUAACUACGU